GAAACUGAAAGAGGCGAGUCUUAAUAUCUGCGAUGGACAUUGUCAUUACUUAGGGUGGGAGACGCUGAAAUGAAAUCUACGGAUCCUUUCCUGGCGGGACAAUGGUAUGCGGGGGGGGGCAGGCGCGUUCUCUGUAUUUUAGCUGCUAGUUAAGAGAGCAGAUAAUGUUCCCCGCUCGUUUUCACAUUUAUUUGUACCAACCGUCGGGUUAAAGCCACAUCUGACUUCAUUACUUUCAGAAGCUGUCUAUUUGGCGAGUGUCACUUUUCAUCACGCUGGGCAAAUAAAAUUCUCGGAGAAAUGAAUGGUGAAGGAAGGCCAGAGAGGAACAUCGCGGCUGUUUCCCUUUGGACGCAUCGCAUCCUCCAAGGCCUCAGCCGCGCUUUGGAGCAUCUUUCUUUGCUCUCUGAUUUCAGAUGUAUUUAAAACAAAACAAACAUAUCCAAACUCAAUCUAUCGUUUGUGCUCCAAAUGCACAAGUUGCGGGGUGGGGUGUCACAACUGAGAAGACCACAAUGAAGGGGGAUACAAAACACGGCAAAGAUAGUUCUGAACUGCCUUUCAAAUCUAUUUUAAUAUCAUAGAAACCGAUGGCUCCAUUAGGCCGCGUCUCACGCCUAUCCACAGAGGAGAUACCGAACCGGAGGUUAAUUAGGAAUCAUUUUUGUCUUGAUUUUUAAUAGGAAAAGUCCUUGAAGGAAAGAUGGGAGGGAUAAAGAGCCCAUCUUCUCCACUUCUACUCCCCACCAUAAAAAAAUUUCUAGGGGGAGAGAGAGAGAGAGAGAGACUAAGGACAAAAGGAAAAAAGUUGUUAAAACUAGUCGGUUUGGGAACAGUUCCUAAACCUCACCGCUUUCUUUCACUCUCUCUGUUUUUAAAAGAAAAUCGAAGUCGACGGAGAGCGAAAUUAAAGACCUUAGCAUAGGAAUCUAAGAACUCGAUCAUAUGGGUUUGGAGGAAGUUGCAGGUCCAGAUAUUGGCUGCUUUGUUUGUUUUAUUUGAAAGAAAGCAGUAACACGGCCUGAUCACACACACCCUUUUUUUAAAAAAAGAGCUCGUCUGAUCUUCAAAUCCCAGACAUUUUCGCCUCUGUUUCCAGGAGAAAGAGAGAGUGAAAAAUAAAUAAAUUUAGGAGAGGAAAGGAAGGGAAAGUGGGAGAAGCAGGUGCAUGGCAGCGAUUGGCAUGUUUUCUACAAAUCCCCCCUCUGCAUCAACACCUCUGUCUCGUAGCACAAAAGCGAAGAGAACUGAAUCUCUCUCCGAACCCCGAAAACUUACGAAGAGAGAAUCUUGUCUCCUGAGUUAAUGCCUUGCUUCUCCAGUCUUUCUCCUUGUACUCGCUCUGGACGCUGCCUAGGUUAAAAUCAGUAACAUGACUUUCGUCGUGUUUUCGAACUCACUUAUUUAUAAUUACGUUUAUCUCUUGUAAGCCCCCCCCCCCCAUUUUUAAAAAUGCGCCUGGUUUGUGUGUGUGCAUCUAAGAUGUAUCGAGAAAACACAUGCUUUGCACUUUUCCUGAAUAAGUCUCAUUUCUACCUGCCAGUCCCCCACCCCCUUUUUGCCUCUUUCUUACUUAAGAAAUCAGACGGUUUGAAGGUUUGUUUGCUCUAUCUUGUCUUUUUUGCAGAGCUGCCCAAUGGAAUUGUAACCCUCUCCUAAUCUCCGCGGCAGAAACCAUGCUAAUAAGGGGCUCUCUCGCCCAAACCUGUCACCUUGGAGCGCCACCUUGCCGCUGAAAGGCAAACUGCAAGUCCAGAAGAUCUUGAUGCUGGUGCUAUUUGCAACUCUCUCUCUCUCUCUCUCUCUCUCUCUCUCUCUCUCUCAUAAUCAAAG